rnacentral:sRNA from 1 species
AAAUUCUUGGCUUGAUUUACUUUU